rnacentral:miRNA from 1 species
AGGAGGAGGAAAAGAAGAAGAAGAAGAAGAAGAAGAAGAAGAAGAAGAAGAAGAAGAACUUCUUCUUCUUCUUCUUCUUCUUCUUCUUCUUCUUCUUUU